rnacentral:lncRNA from 1 species
UUUUAUCUUUUUAUUCUUUUUUUUUCCUUUUACAGAUCAGAAGGAACAUGUAAUGACAUCCUUCUUUUCUUUUCCUAAUAUUUUUUCAAUUUUUUUAUUUUUCAAUUUUUUUUAUUUUAUUCUGCCAACUUGUUUUCUUUCAAAUAUCACAAUUAUUCAACCUCACACAACUCCAGCAAGACUCUUUCAACCCUUUGAAUGAGUCAUAACAUUGUUUUUCACUUUCAACCUUGUAAUAAGUUUAAACAAAGAAUGAGAUAAUAUGCUCAAUGA